GGUUAAGUGAAUAAGGGCGCACGGUGGAUGCCUUGGCACUAGGAGCCGAUGAAGGACGGGACUAACACCGAUAUGCUUUGGGGAGCUGUAAGUAAGCUAUGAUCCAGAGAUUUCCGAAUGGGGGAACCCAAUAUCUUUUAUAGGAUAUUACUUUUCAGUGAAUACAUAGCUGAUUAGAGGUAGACGCAGAGAACUGAAACAUCUUAGUACCUGCAGGAAGAGAAAGAAAAUUCGAUUCCCUGAGUAGCGGCGAGCGAAACGGGAAGAGCCCAAACCAACAAGCUUGCUUGUUGGGGUUGUAGGACUCCAAUAUGGUAGUCUGUUAGUAUAGUUGAAGGAUUUGGAAAAUUCCGCUAAAGAGGGUGAAAGCCCCGUAGACGAAAUGCUAACAACACCUAGGAGGAUCCUGAGUACGGCGGAACACGAGAAAUUCCGUCGGAAUCCGCGGGGACCAUCCCGCAAGGCUAAAUACUCCCUAGUGACCGAUAGUGAACCAGUACCGUGAGGGAAAGGUGAAAAGCACCCCGGAAGGGGAGUGAAAUAGAUCCUGAAACCGUGUGCCUACAACAAGUCAAAGCUCGUUAAUGAGUGAUGGCGUGCCUUUUGUAGAAUGAACCGGCGAGUUACGAUUGCAUGCGAGGUUAAGUCGAAGAGACGGAGCCGCAGCGAAAGCGAGUCUGAAUAGGGCGAA
rnacentral:rRNA from 1 species